rnacentral:rRNA from 1 species
UGGGGAAUAUUGCACAAUGGGGGGAACCCUGAUGCAGCGACGCCGCGUGAGCGAAGAAGUAUCUCGGUAUGUAAAGCUCUAUCAGCAGGGAAGAAGAUGACGGUACCUGACUAAGAAGCUCCGGCUAAAUACGUGCCAGCAGCCGCGGUAAUACGUAUGGAGCAAGCGUUAUCCGGAUUUACUGGGUGUAAAGGGAGCGCAGGCGGCGCGCCAAGUCUGGUGUGAAACCCCGGGGCUCAACCCCGGGACUGCAUUGGAAACUGGCGUGCUGGAGUGUCGGAGGGGCAGGCGGAAUUCCUGGUG